rnacentral:sRNA from 1 species
UAAAAGUGUCGGAGGGCGGCUGCCGGGCUGACUGCUUGCAGGCAAGCCCGAGCAGACAUCGGACGACCAAAGCAGGUAUGAGGAAAAAAGCUACACGAAUGAAAUGAGUGGAGCGAUUUCCGAAUACUGCUUAGGAUUGCGGGAGCACGAAGUGCGAAGCAAUCCGUACUUUUA